AUCAACUGCUGUGAGCUGCUCAAGCGCAACAAUCCCAGAGUCCCGAGGAGAUUACUAGCUAGCUGGGGAUUUUGAGCUCCCCAUGCCCCACUGAUGGUGGAUGAGCUUUUGGCAAAACAUCGCCGGGCAGAAGGACGAUAGUGCCGUGACUCGGAUUCGAACCGAGGUUGCUGCGGCCACAACGCAGAGUACUAACCACUAUACGAUCACGGCGAGCCACGAGCCCAGCGACAACUUUGUUGUGCUGGUGCUGUUGGCUCAGCCUCAGUUCCAAAUCGCCUGGUCCUGCCCUGCUCUCCCGACCCGCGUAGGCAAGCUGCCCGCCACGCUGGGCAUAGGAACAUUGGAACUAAUGUCACCCAUUUCCCCUCUCUCAACUCCUUUAUCUCAAACUCAACAAAGACCACUCUCUGGGAGAGCCCAGAAGAACUUGCCUGUUGGAAGCCCUGUCUCUGGGGUCUUGUGAGUCAAGGAGAGGGCUCUUGUGCCUCACAGGACUAUUUAAAAGUCGGCCAAAGGAAGACCAGGGGGAGGAGAGAGGCUGCUAAAAGGACUUUGCCUGACCGGGAAUCGAACCCGGGCCGCGGCGGUGAAAGCGCCGAAUCCUAGCCACUAGACCACCAGGGAGACAUAUGAGUCCCUCGAUCGACCACUUGAAGCAAACUCCACAGAGGACACUUGACUCGCUUUCCAAAGCCGACAGGCCAGGCAUGGAGCCCACCAUCGUCAUCUCUCCCAUCCACUGCCCGGGUGAAACCAGCAGACAGCGGAGCGCAUACGGAAUCCAUUCCGCUCCGGCCUUCGCACCAAGUGCGCCAGGAUGACACAUCUCUCCCUCCGAGUUUCGGGUUCCUCGUGGGUAAACUGUCGGUUUGACAGGGAGCACCCACCCCCACCCCGUCACCUCCAGCACUACAGCGCGCACGAUCCGAAGACCUCCAGGGACGGAUUGGGAUCGCUCCUCUCACCGUGGGCUCCAGUCAGCCUGCUCCGCGGCUGUGCUCAGGGUGAGAUCAAGGCGUCCGCGGCUGUGCUCAGGGUGAGAUCAAGGCGUCCGCGGCUGUGCUCAGGGUGAGAUCAAGGCGUCCGCGGCUGUGCUCAGGGUGAGAUCAAGGCGAAUGGACCUCAGGAGUCUCUUGGUUUUCAGACCCUGGACGCGGGUCAGCCGGGAGGGAUUUAGGUGGAGGUGAAGGAGGUGGGAUUCUGGAUCUAACGCAGAGGAGAAGGGCGCGGGCUGCAGUGUCUUGGUCUCCAGCUCACUCACAGCAGGAAGCCUGAUGGAUCCCAGCGGGGAGCAGGACCUCUGUAGUGCUCCUUAACCUCCACAUUCCCUUUCCACUCCCUCUCUUCCUGCCUCUUCCAUGUUUGUCUCUUUUAGAAAAUAAUCGUCCUGUUCUGUUGUUGAGACAGGUCUCACUGUGUAGCCCUCACUGGUCUGGGACGCGCCUUGUAGACCAGGUUGGUCCUCCAGCUCAAGGAGCUCCGAAUUCCUCUGCUUCCCGAGUGUAGUGACUAAAGCGUGCUCCACCUCCGCCCAGAAAGCCGUUUUUUUUGAGCGACUGUAACUGGUGGGAUAGCUAACAAGGUCCUGUCCAGAGAGCUUGGAACAUACGGAAUACUGCUAAGGGCUUAGAGAACAAGCUGACGAAGUCCCUGGUGGAUUUGUCACUAGGAAAGUCUUGUGUUGUAUCCAGUGAGUGCAACUCUGGCUGCUCGCAAAUCUCCAGCCACUGCGUGUCCGAGUUCUAUAGCAGCAAAGUGUUCGCCAGUGGAAGCGUGAGCCAGAAGCCUGCCAGUUUUUCCCGAGCAGGAAGACUGCGGCCCUGACGGACCCCGGGCGGGCACCGAAGGAACCCCUCGCGGAGGGACCGCGCGUCCUCCUCCUUGCGAUACCGUAUCGAGGGACUCCCGCUCUGGCCUGAGGUCCCGAAUGUCACGAAUGUUUCCCGUUCCAUAACGAAGCGGCCACAUGCUUGCACCACACAUCCCCGCUGACUCUCGGGCUCCCAUCGCCGGAGGAAUCGUCGGGUCUCGAGGUCCAAACCAAGCGGAACGGGGGCGGCCUAUGACUGUGGACCCCGGGAGGCUGCCGGGGUUCCUUCGCGCGGAGUAGGACACGGUGCAAACUGCAGACGCCGUUGUCCUGGAGUUUUUCCGAGGAUGAGCGCGUCCAGCAGCGAGAACCUAAGACGCCAUUCUCUCCCUGUCAUCCGCUCCUUGAAUAGCUCUAGCACUUGGCAGACAGAGAUUCCCACCAUUUCUGGCCUGUUUCUUGUUUGUUUGUUUGUUUGUUUCACUACCUAAUGAAUAGUAUCCAACUACACCUUGGUGAUUUGACAGUGUAAAUCCUACAGCACUUGGAGAAAGUCCACCAACCUAAAUAGCCAAUUGAAGCAAGUGUGUGUGUGUGUCAGAAGCAGAAUAUAAGCAAACAAGUUGGUCAUAAAAAAACGUCCUGAAACAAAGGCCCGAUGUCUUUUCCUGGAGGCGGCAGUGCAGAACUAUUUGUAAUUAAGGUUACAAGUGGUCACAGCUUAAUCCUUGAAAAACAGAGAUUUAGUCAUAAACAGCAAAGAACCUAGUUUGUCUUUAUUAUAAACCGGCUUUUAACCCCAAGUUGGGGGCAGGCUGGUUUGUCAGCAGUCCUGUGGGAGAGCAAUGACUUAGGGGCAUUUGUCAGGUUUUAAAGGUCAGAAUGAGAGACCAACAGGCUAUGUCCCUGAGUACAAGAUCGGAAAGAAAGGCAUGGAGACAAAAGACCUGAAACCAAUACCUGUGAAAACUGAAAAACAAAACAAUUUUUAACUCAACAAAGCUGGUUCUUGGGAAAGAUGGGUGCAUCCAUUUUCCAGCAAACAACAUAUUUUCAUUCUUUAUAGAUGAACAAAAAACCCAUUUUGUAAGUAUUAGAGAAAGAUGCAGACAGAAAAUUCUAGAACAAGUCCACCUGUGGCAGAGAAAUGAAAAAAGAGAUACCUGGAAGAAAAGUCACCUCCUGAUGCCAAUCUGCAGUGUCUUCCUUGAGCAGAAAGGAACACUCAGGAAAAGACAUACCCAGAAGCUGCAUGGGUGAACUGGGACUGACACCACAUGGAAGACAGGCUUAGGUUCGAAUGGCUGUGGUCUUCAGAGCAACCCCACUGAGGGGUCUACCUAGAAGAGUUCGCCUAACAAGCUGGACCGCUAAAAGAAAGAGCCAUACAGGAGAGCAGCAAAUAGAAGCCUGGGAGAGUGCUCUGGGAACUACCCUGCAUUGUGAUUGGCUCAGCCCAGGAUAACUGCUCUUGUCCACAUGGACCACGGUGUAGGUUCUACCUCAGAGCAUGGCUUCCCCUAAAGGACAGGGAAGAACAGGAAGAAAGCCCAUCUCUACAAAGGUCAUAUCUGAGCACUGAUGUUGACCCCUUCCCAGGCUGAAGGAACAGCAAGAACACUUGAUAGGUUUGUGGUACCCAAACGGACCUCCACAAGGAAUGACACUCUGAUGCAAAAGAAAAGGUUUCUUUAUUUUCAAGCUGGCCAGCCAGGAUCUUACUCCAUCGGGAGGAAGUGUAACCCCAACCAGCAAUUAAGGGUAGCUUUUAAAGGAAAAGACCAUAAGGCUGAAAGCCACAAAUUACAAAGUUUCCAUGAUUACUCAAGGUCAUUACAAAGUACAAAGUAAAGCAAAAACAAUAUAUUUUAGCAAGACACAUUUGAGCAUAAUAGGGCAGGAGCCUGGGGUCAUGAGUUUGCCAAUUAUCCCCUGGGCCAGGGGAUUUUUUUACAACCGGAAAUUAGCGGUUAUCUGGUUUUCUCUAGGACAAAGGAAUAAUGACACAGAUGGUGGUGAGCUAACUCUUUCUCUGAGAGUUGGGCUCAGGCUCCUAGUCAUGUGCUCCCAGUUAGAGGGUCAAAAUCUUUCUACCAUCAGAAAUUCCCUUUUUUCUCUGUGUAGGUUCAGCAGACCCAAGUCUUUAAACUUUUAUUAAUUUUAAUUUUUGGUCUCUCGUUUUCUCAUUGAACACAAAUUCCCUGAGACACUGCAUGUUUUCAAAGGGCAAGAAAAGCACAGUGACUGGAGUAUCUCAGACAGGAGAAUUUUCAUUCACAGAGCCCACAUACUUUCUGUCAAGAACACUGUAGAGUUUUCUGGGUGCCCACCAACUGUUGGGAAGGGGGAGUAUUGGUCUCUUUGUUUAUAGCAAACACCUUAUAUGCCAGAUCAAAGAGCAAAGAGGAGAGGUGAGGAGCAAAAAUGACAAGAACAAUCAAAAUUGGUCUUCCCUUUGGACAAGCAGUUUGACAGUGAACUAUCCAAGAGCCAGACUGGCCAGUCUUCUUUGAUCUGAGUGACCAGUUCAUCACAGAAAACAAUUAGCUUUUGGAGGACUCUAAGUGCCUUAUUUCCACCCAAAAUACGCUGUAUAGUAUCUGUGUGCCUGUGCACUGUGUGUGGUCCUCUGCUGUACCUCCCCCUGAGCCAAGCCCAUGUGGCAACAUUACCCUAGGUCAGCAUUGGAGACAGCUGGGAGAAAGGUUGUUGUGUAGGCAAGAAAACAAGAAAGGAACAUGGCUACAGUUGGGAACACCGGACCCCUGUAGAAGACACAUUUGCAGAGUGGGCUCAGAGUAGAGCAUGACAUAAACACCAUUAUGUGACAAUGGCAACACCCAUCUCUUCACUGUGUGAGUCAGCAAGUGUAUGCUCGAUUUCAUAACAGUUAUGCUCACUUAAAGGCAGUUUUCUGGCCGGUGGGGAUGGUGCACGCCUUUAAUCCCAGCACUUGGGAGGCAGCGGCCUGUGAAGGACAAAAAUUCAAAUUAAUAAAAGUUUAAAAACUUAGGGAACCUCUAAUAAUAAAGGUGUGAUGGAGAUCAGGGCAAAGCAGAGACAGCAAGCCGAUUUCCCUUUAGGUCUAGAAUCCUCAACUUUCAAGUGUCCGAACCCAAACAGGGAGUCAAAGGAAACCACCC
ensembl:lncRNA